rnacentral:lncRNA from 1 species
AAUGUACCAAUGAGGGAGUUUUUAGCCAUUGGAUUGAAAACGAAGGACAUCCAAAUGAGGUAAGCUGCCAUGGCCACACAACUUUAGAGAAUCUGCGCCGACAUUUACUCACUAACGCGGAUCUUCGAUAAUGGAGAAGCAGCGGAGCUAGUGGUGUCCCUCUCUCGAUGCGGGUCCAAAACGACAGACAAAUGUGUGCGAGGUGCGCCUAGGGGAGCUGCGGGAGAAGCAAGGGUGUAAGAGCAUCUUCAGCAGUGGCUCUUAAAACAUGGCCCCUACUUGUUGUUCACGGGCUUCUUCCUAAUUUUUUCAGCCCAUACUUCAACUCAAUUUUCAACAGUAGCCCCCUAAAUACCAGCCCCUAUUUACUUUUACCAUUACACUGACUAGUGGGACCCCUUGUCAGUGGGUCAAAAAAUUCCCCAUCUCCUCAUCUUCUUCCCUGAGGAGCUUCUGGAGGAGGGCGGGGCAGCUCCACCGCCGGCCGACGCAGGUCUCCACGGCGGGCCGGAGCGCAGCCAGCAAAGGGGCGAUGAGGCCACGGCCGUGGCCGGUUGCUCACGAGGCGAGGUGGCCACUGGUCCAGCUUCCUCUGUGGUGGCGCACGGCGGGACGAGGCCGCGGUGUGUGCUCAGCUCGGCCUUGCCGUCGUCUUCUCCUUUGUCGAUGACCCCGGCCACGUCCUCGCACAACUCACCCUCACCGUCGUCUUCUCCAUCGCCGAGGGCGUAGGCGGCAGACCAGACCAGCACAGAGGCGGAGGCGGCACGGGCCAGCGCGAUAGAGGUGAGCCAGACGCGAGGCGCGGCGGUGGCGAGGCAUGUCGGCGGCGAGGUGGGACGAGUCCUGCCACCAGAGAGAGAGGAGAAGAUGACAUAAAGAGGGGAAUAGGGGCCUCGCUGGGAGUCCCCCCGAAUGAGGACUAGAGGGAUGUUUUUAGGGGACUUCCUACUGUAGUGGGUCAAGUAGGACCUUGUUGAAGCGAUUUUUG